AUUGAACGCUGGCGGCAUGCUUUACACAUGCAAGUCGAACGGUAACAGGGAGCUUGCUCCGCUGACGAGUGGCGAACGGGUGAGUAAUGCAUCGGAACAUGCCCAGUCAUGGGGGAUAACUACGCGAAAGCGUAGCUAAUACCGCAUACGCCCUGAGGGGGAAAGUGGGGGAUCUUAGGACCUCACGUGAUUGGAGUGGCCGAUGUCAGAUUAGCUAGUUGGUGAGGUAAAAGCUCACCAAGGCGACGAUCUGUAGCGGGUCUGAGAGGAUGAUCCGCCACACUGGGACUGAGACACGGCCCAGACUCCUACGGGAGGCAGCAGUGGGGAAUUUUGGACAAUGGGCGCAAGCCUGAUCCAGCCAUGCCGCGUGAGUGAAG
rnacentral:rRNA from 1 species